rnacentral:rRNA from 1 species
UACGUAGGCACCAAGCGUUGUCCGGAUUUAUUGGGCGUAAAGAGCUCGUAGGCGGUUUGUCGCGUCUGCUGUGAAAACCCGAGGCUCAACCUCGGGCCUGCAGUGGGUACGGGCAGACUAGAGUGCGGUAGGGGAGAUUGGAAUUCCUGGUGUAGCGGUGGAAUGCGUAGAUAUCAGGAGGAACACCGGUGGCGAAGGCGGCUAUCUGGACAGAGUCUGACGCUGAGGCGCGAAAGCUAGGGGAGCAAACAGG